rnacentral:rRNA from 1 species
AUUGAACGCUAGCGGGAUGCCUAACACAUGCAAGUCGAACGGAGUGGCGAACGGGCGAGUAAUGUAUCUGAACGUGCCUAGUAGAGGGGGAUAACUAAGCGCAAGCGAAGCUAACACCGACUACUAUUGGACCGGCGGAUAGGGGAUUAGCUAGUUGGUGGGGUAGCGGCUGACCAAGGCGACGAUCCGUAGCUGGUUUGAGAGGACGACCAGCCACACUGGGACUGAGACACGGCCCAGACUCCUACGGGAGGCAGCAGUGGGGAAUUUUGGACAAUGGGCGCAAGCCUGAUCCAGCCAUCCCGCGUGUACGAUGAAGGCCUUCGGGUUGUAAAGCACUUUUAGCAGGGAGGCGGUACCUGCAGAAGAAGCACCGGCUAACUACGUGCCAGCAGCCGCGGUAAUAC